rnacentral:rRNA from 1 species
UACGUAGGGGGCGAGCGUUGUCCGGAUUUAUUGGGCGUAAAGAGCGUGUAGGCGGCCAGGUAGGUCUGCUGUGAAAACUCGAGGCUCAACCUCGAGACGUCGGCGGAAACCAUCUGGCUAGAGUCCGGAAGAGGCGAGUGGAAUUCCCGGUGUAGCGGUGAAAUGCGCAGAUAUCGGGAGGAACACCUAUGGCGAAAGCAGCUCGCUGGGACGUUACUGACGCUGAGACGCGAAAGCGUGGGGAGCGAACAGG